rnacentral:rRNA from 1 species
CGUAAUAAUUUGUUUUUUAAUUGAAAGCUUGUAUGAAUGGUUUGAUGAGAUAAAUAUUAUUUUUUUAUAAAUUAAUGAAGUUUAAUUUUUAGUAAAAAUGCUAAAAUUUUUGUAAAAGACGAGAAGACCCUAUAAAUCUUUAUUUUUAGUUUAUUACUUAAAUAAAAAUUAUUUUUUAUGUAAUUUUAUUAAAAAUUUUAUUGGGGUGAUAAUGAAAUUUAAUUAACUUUUAUUUAUUUUUUUUUACAAAUAAGUAUUUAUUUGAUCCAAUUGUAUUGAUAAAAAAAUUAAGUUACUUUAGGGAUAACAGCGUAAUUUUUUUAGAAAGUUCUUAUUGAUAUAAAAGAUUG